GGUCCGGUGGUGUAGUGGUUAUCACAUCGUUCUUAUAAUGCGAGGGUCCCGGGUUCAACCCCCGGUCGGACCA
rnacentral:tRNA from 1 species